GGUAAACUUCUGUACUUAACGUGGCCGCUAGAUCGGAGCGUCCUCCAGCGCAGGCAAGACUUGCUCGUUUAGAGUUAUGUUAUCUUCGAAAUGACUCCAUUACUCAGAAUUCUUUACUUCCACCGGAAUUUAGUGAAGGGAAGGCACAACCUACAUUAGGAAAAUACAGGACACACUUCAGUCCUUAAACCUUCCACAAUCCUCUAACUCUUUAAGUCCAAUGUGAUCCUCCCCAGAACUGCAUCCUCCAGGAAGCUCAUGAGAAAGGAAGAAUCCCAGGUCCCAUCCCUGAUGUCCUGAAUCGGUAUCUGCAUUUUAACAGAAUCCUGAAGCACUUGUCUAACCCUUUGGCGACGUUAUGGUCUGAAUGGAUACCUCCAAAAUUCACAUAUUUAAAAACCCCAAGGUGAUGAUAUUAGGAGGUGGGGCCUUUGGGAGGUAAUUAAGUCACGAGGAUGGAGCCUUCAUGAAUAGGAUUAGUUCUCUUAGGAAAAGGACCCCAGAGCUCGCUUUCCACCAUGUAAGGAUACAAGUACAAGAAGAUGGCAGACUGCAAGUUGGAAAAGGGCCCUCCUCAGAACCUGAUCAUCUUGGCACCUUGAUCUCAGACUUCCAUCUUCCAGAACUGUGAGAAAUACAUUUCUUUUAUAAACACCCAGUCAAUGAUACUUUAUGAUAGCAGCUUGAAUGGACUAAGACUGGUGGUCUGGUUUAAAGUGAUGUGGUGGCAUCAGAAGUUUAAGGUGAGACUGGAUUCACAGAACUGGAAUCUGGGAUGCCGUUGACAGAACAAAUAUCUCUUGCACUUGGACAUUGUCAGCAGGUCGAUUCAGGAGACAGAUGAAAACUUUAUCACCGGGCAGCCUGGAUGAACGCCACAACUUUGGACUCUUUCACAUAAAGGAAAGAUAAGAGCAUCCACUAUUUCUACACCUGGCUGGCAGAGUGAGAUCUCACCAAAGAUUUGUCACUUGGCUGACCUCCAAGCCUGCCCAUCAGCCAGAAAUCAAGAAGCCUGCAAGUCACAGCUGGAUCCAUUGGUGGAACAAAGCUCAGCUGCCAAUUUCAGAAGAGAAAGCACUUUCUGCUCAGGAGUCACAUUUAAUUAUGCAGAAUUUAUGUAUUUUAUUUUUUUGUAACUCUUGCAUAUUAAACCAUAAAUGUGAGCUAAUGAAAGAUAAUAUGUGUGAAACACCUAGCAGGGUUAGGCAGAGAGGAGACACAAAAUGAAAUCCAUCUUGUUUCUUCCUCUUGUA